rnacentral:rRNA from 1 species
ACGGGAGGCAGCAGUAGGGAAUCUUCCACAAUGGACGAAAGUCUGAUGGAGCAACGCCGCGUGAGUGAAGAAGGGUUUCGGCUCGUAAAACUCUGUUGUUAAAGAAGAACAUAUCUGAGAGUAACUGUUCAGGUAUUGACGGUAUUUAACCAGAAAGCCACGGCUAACUACGUGCCAGCAGCCGCGGUAAUACGUAGGUGGCAAGCGUUGUCCGGAUUUAUUGGGCGUAAAGCGAGCGCAGGCGGUUUUUUAAGUCUGAUGUGAAACCUUCGGCUCAACCGAAGAAGUGCAUCGGAAACUGGGAAACUUGAGUGCAGAAGAGGACAGUGGAACUCCAUGUGUAGCGGUGAAAUGCGUAGAUAUAUGGAAGAACACCAGUGGCGAAGGCGGCUGUCUGGUCUGUA